UGGCGGCAUGCUUUAACAUGCAGUCGAACGGCAGCACGGGUGCUUGCACCUGGUGGCGAGUGGCGGACGGGUGUGUAAUACAUCGGAACGUGUCCAGAAGAGGGGGAUAACGCAUCGAAUGAUGUGCUAAUACCGCAUAUACUCUAAGGAGGAAAGCAGGGGAUCGAAAGACCUUGCGCUUUUGGAGCGGCCGAUGUCUGAUUAGCUAGUUGGUGGGGUAAUGGCCUACCAAGGCGACGAUCAGUAGUUGGUCUGAGAGGACGACCAGCCACACUGGGACUGAGACACGGCCCAGACUCCUACGGGAGGCAGCAGUGGGGAAUUUUGGACAAUGGGCGCAAGCCUGAUCCAGCAAUGCCGCGUGAGUGAAGAAGGCCUUCGGGUUGUAAAGCUCUUUCAGUCGAGAAGAAAAGGCUGCAGUGAAUAACUGUAGUUUAUGACGGUAUCGACAGAAGAAGCACCGGCUAACUACGUGCCAGCAGCCGCGGUAAUACGUAGGGUGCGAGCGUUAAUCGGAAUUACUGGGCGUAAAGGGUGCGCAGGCGGUUUUGUAAGUCAGAUGUGAAAUCCCCGGGCUUAACCUGGGAAUUGCGUUUGAAACUACAAGACUAGAGUGUGGCAGAGGGAGGUGGAAUUCCAUGUGUAGCAGUGAAAUGCGUAGAGAUAUGGAAGAACAUCGAUGGCGAAGGCAGCCUCCUGGGUUAACACUGACGCUCAUGCACGAAAGCGUGGGGAGCAAACAGGAUUAGAUACCCUGGUAGUCCACGCCCUAAACGAUGUCAACUAGUUGUCGGGCCUUACUAGGCUUGGUAACGAAGCUAACGCGUGAAGUUGACCGCCUGGGGAGUACGGUCGCAAGAUUAAAACUCAAAGGAAUUGACGGGGACCCGCACAAGCGGUGGAUUAUGUGGAUUAAUUCGAUGCAACGCGAAAAA
rnacentral:rRNA from 1 species